rnacentral:rRNA from 1 species
AUUGAACGCUGGCGGCAGGCCUAACACAUGCAAGUCGAACGGAAACAUGUCUAGCUUGCUAGGUGAUGUCGAGUGGCGGACGGGUGAGUAAUACUUAGGAACAUGCCUUUGGGUGGGGGAUAACUAUUGGAAACGAUAGCUAAUACCGCAUAACGUCUACGGACCAAAGGGGGGAGCUUGCUCCUCUCGCCCAAAGAGUGGCCUAAGCGAGAUUAGCUUGUUGGUGAGGUAAAGGCUCACCAAGGCGACGAUCUCUAGCUGUUCUGAGAGGAAGAUCAGCCACACUGGGACUGAGACACGGCCCAG